rnacentral:rRNA from 1 species
AGUGAACGCUGGCGGUAGGCCUAACACAUGCAAGUCGAACGGCAGCACAGUAAGAGCUUGCUCUUACGGGUGGCGAGUGGCGGACGGGUGAGGAAUAAAUCGGAAUCUACUUUUUCGUGGGGGAUAACGUAGGGAAACUUACGCUAAUACCGCAUACGACCUACGGGUGAAAGCAGGGGAUCUUCGGACCUUGCGCGAUUGAAUGAGCCGAUGUCGGAUUAGCUAGUUGGCGGGGUAAAGGCCCACCAAGGCGACGAUCCGUAGCUGGUCUGAGAGGAUGAUCAGCCACACUGGAACUGAGACACGGUCAAGACUCCUACGGGAGGCAGCAGUGGGGAAUAUUGGACAAUGGGCGGAAGCCUGAUCCAGCCAUACCGAGUGGGUGAAGAAGGCCUUCGGGUUGUAAAGCCCUUUUGUUGGGAAAGAAAAGCAGCAGGUUAAUACCACGAUGUUCUGACGGUACCCAAAGAAUAAGCACCGGCUAACUUCGUG